CAGUACAGUCUCUCCAACGUAUCUUAAAGAGACACUUUGCUCUGGAUGGCUUGCAAGCACAUUAAUAAGAAAUCGCGACAAGUAUUUCAGUAUUCUAAAUGGGAUUGACACUGUGAUCUGGAACCCUGCUACCGAUGGUUUCUUACCUGCUAAGUUUCAUGUCUGAAACUGGUUCUAUAAGUUCAGACAUAAAAAUACUCCUGGAGAAGUCAAUGGAUAUGGGUCUGAAGAUGAAGAAUCCCAAGUGGAAUUUUCAUUUAGGUCAACAAGGAGUACAUGAGAACACUUGAGAUCUUAAGUAAGAAGCUGAAAUUUUUUGAAGUGGAUCUUAUGGUUAAAACUUCAAAAGCCCUUAAAGAUGUUCAGCCGGAGCUUGAAAAACUAAGGCAGAAACGAGCCAUCUUUCCAUGUUUUUCUUCUC